UUAAAGGAAUUGGCGGAAGGGCACCACCAGGCUUGGGGCCUGCGGCUUAAUUUGACUCAACACGGGAAAACUUACCCGGCCCGGACACAGGAAGGAUUGACAGAUUAAGAGCUCUUUCUUGAUUCUGUGGGUGGUGGUGCAUGGCCGUUCUUAGUUGGUGGAUUGAUUUGUCUGCUUUAUUGCGAUAACGAACGAGACUCUAGCCUAUUAACUAGGCGGUUCCGAUCCUUACACAGUCGGACGUUUCUUCUUAGAGGGACAAGCGGCGUUUAGUCGCACGAGACAGA
rnacentral:rRNA from 1 species